CCUACGGGUGGCUGCAGUGAGGAAUAUUGGUCAAUGGGCGGAAGCCUGAACCAGCCAAGUAGCGUGCGGGAUGAAGGCUCUACGGGUCGUAAACCGCUUUUGCACGGGGAUAACACCCUCCACUUGUGGAGGUCUGCAGGUACCGUGCGAAUAAGGGCCGGCUACUUCCGUGCCGGCAGCCGCGGUAAUACGGAAGGCCCGAGCGUUAUCCGGAUUCAUUGGGCUUAAGGGGAGCGUAGGCGGGCGUUCAAGUCAGCUGUAAAAUCGCGGGGCUCAACCGCGCCUCGCAAUUGAAACUGGACGCCUUGAGUGCACAACAGGCAGGCGGAAGUCGUGGUGUAGCGGUGAAAUGCAGAGAUAUCACGAGGAACCCCGAUUGCGAAGGCAGCCUGC
rnacentral:rRNA from 1 species